rnacentral:tRNA from 1 species
GAGGCUGUAACUCAGCGGUAGAGUGCUCGACUAGCAUGCGUGAGGCACUGGGUUUGAUCCUCAGCACCACA